rnacentral:misc_RNA from 1 species
GAUGAAGAACGCAGCGAAAUGCGAUAAGUAGUGUGAAUUGCAGAAUUCAGUGAAUCAUCGAAUCUUUGAACGCACAUUGCGCCCUCUGGUAUUCCGGGGGGCAUGCCUGUUCGAGCGUCAUUAUAACCACUCAAGCUCUCGCUUGGUAUUGGAGUUCGCGAUCUCGCGGCUCCUAAAAUCAGUGGCGGUGCCUGUCGGCUCUACGCGUAGUAAUACUCCUCGCGAUUGAGUCCGGUAGGUUUACUUGCCAGCAACCCCCAAUUUUUACAGGUUGACCUCGGAUCAGGUAGGGAUACCCGCUGAACUUAAGCAUAUCAAUAAGCGGAGGA